GACGAACGCUGGCGGCGUGCUUAACACAUGCAAGUCGAACGGAAAGGCCCUGCUUUUGUGGGGUGCUCGAGUGGCGAACGGGUGAGUAACACGUGAGUAACCUGCCCUUGACUUUGGGAUAACUUCAGGAAACUGGGGCUAAUACCGGAUAGGAGCUCCUGCUGCAUGGUGGGGGUUGGAAAGUUUCGGCGGUUGGGGAUGGACUCGCGGCUUAUCAGCUUGUUGGUGGGGUAGUGGCUUACCAAGGCUUUGACGGGUAGCCGGCCUGAGAGGGUGACCGGGCAGAGGGGGAGUGAGGUACGGGGGGGAGGGAUGCGGGAGGCAGCAGUGGGGGGGAGGGGACAAUGGGCGGCGGCCUGAUGCCGGAACGCCGCGUGCGGGAGGAGGGCGUGCGGGUUGUAGGCAGAGAAGGCCUGGGACGAAGCGUGAGUGAGGGUAAGGGGUAAGGAAGCAGAGGAUACGUACGUG
rnacentral:rRNA from 1 species